rnacentral:rRNA from 1 species
CCUACGGGAGGCUGCAGUGAGGAAUAUUGGUCAAUGGGCGGGAGCCUGAACCAGCCAAGUCGCGUGCGGGAUGACGGCCCUAUGGGUUGUAAACCUCUUUUGCCGGGGAGCAAAGUGCCGCACGUGUGCGGUUUGGAGAGUACCCGGAGAAAAAGCAUCGGCUAACUCCGUGCCAGCAGCCGCGGUAAUACGGAGGAUGCGAGCGUUAUCCGGAUUUAUUGGGUUUAAAGGGUGCGUAGGCGGACGCUUAAGUCAGCGGUAAUAUUGCGGGGGACAACAUCGUCGAGCCGUUGAAACUGGGAGGCUUGAGAGGGCGAGAGGUAAGCGGAAUGCGUGGUGUAGCGGUGAAAUGCGUAGAUAUCAGACAGAACUCCGAUUGCGAAGGCAGCGUACCGGGGCCCAACUGACGCUGAGGCACGAAGGCGUGGGGAGCGAACAGGAUUAGAUACCCGGGUAGUC